GGAGAAGCCUCCCUACCACCAGCGCUCUCCGGACGCAGGGAUUGCCCCCACCAAGCCCCAGAGCUGGGAGUGGGCAGGACGGGGCAGGUUUUGCAUCUGAAGACGCCUCUGACUCACCCUGGAUCCACGCUGACCUGGAGCGGACUAAUUGUCUGAAAAGGGCUCAGGCCAGUUGCACGUGUGAUAUGUGCACGUCCCUCCAUGUGUAGAUACCUCAAUACACAUCUAGAAUUGGGUGGAAACCUCUCAUAAAAGGAGGCUCAAGCUGCACCGCUGGGCGGCAGGCAGGACAGCAACCUGAACACAGCCUCUGUUCUAUUUCCCCUUCAGCGCCAGGGAGGGCAGGACAGAAACCUGGCGUUGGUGAGAUUUUGUGGCUGAUCCCACAGCUUCUUGGGCAGAUCUGGGGCCUUCUGUGCCAGAGUUUGUGGAAUCUCACACAGGCAAGAGUUUUAAGCCAGUAAAUACAGGACAUCGGCAUCAGAGACUCAGAACUGGGCUCCUGGAAGAGGCACCACAGGAUGGAAGCAGGAAGCCAAGUGCACGGCAGACCACGCCGCAUCGCGUUCCCGGCAGGCCACUCUUUAAACCCGAUCUGUUCUUUUCCAGGCCUUAGCUAAACCAGGCCACCUAAAUACCUGUCAUUAUCUGUGAUGAUUUCGCAUUAAUUGGGGUUUUUGUCCCUUCUGUUCCUUUUCUUAAAGGCUGGCUUCUUAAACACUU
rnacentral:lncRNA from 1 species